GGCGCUUUGGCCGAGCGGUUAAGGCGACACUUUGCUAUUACCUGAAUAAAAAGGUGUUAUCAUUUGAUGCGUGAGUUCGAACCUCACAGGCGUCG
rnacentral:tRNA from 1 species